rnacentral:rRNA from 1 species
GACGGAGGGUGCGAGCGUUAUUCGGAUUUAUUGGGCGUAAAGAGAGUGUAGGCGGUCGAUCAAGUCUGAUGUGAAAGCCCGGGGCUUAACCUCGGAAGGGCGUUGGAAACUGGUCGACUUGAGUUCGGGAGAGGAAAGCGGAAUUCCGGGUGUAGAGGUGAAAUUCGUAGAUAUCCGGAGGAACACCGGUGGCGAAGGCGGCUUUCUGGACCGAAACUGACGCUGAGACUCGAAAGCGUGGGGAG